rfam:Ovis aries breed Texel chromosome 18, whole genome shotgun sequence.
UCCCUGAUGGCUCAGAUGGUAAAGUGUCUGCCUGCAAUGCGGGGGACCCAGGUUUGAUUCCUGGGUUGGGAA